GCGGGGAUAGCUCAGUUGGGAGAGCGUCAGACUGAAGUUCAACUUCAAGUUCGUCACCGACGAGAGUCGUGAUAUCUGAAGGUCGUGUGUUCGAUCCACACUCACCGCA